ensembl:processed_transcript Gm13266 predicted gene 13266
GGCAGUCACAAUUCCUCUGAGACCCUGAGAUCCUGGUGUGACCAAGCUUCUGGGAUGCUGGGAUCCUGGAAUCCUAAGAUCCUGGGCAUGUUAAAGCGCCUGGAAAUGGUACCUCCUCUGGAGACCAAGGGGCUGUCUGCUGUGUUCAAAAUCAAGCUGCAUCUCUAACAGAUGAGUGUUGAUCUCUGUUACACUAAAGUGUAUGUGUGCACAUGAAUGCAGGCACUCAUGGGGACCAAAAGAGGAAUACUUCGUGCCAGCAGAAGAAUCCAGCCUCUGUGACAACCAUAGAAAUGUGCUGUUCUUUAAUCGCUGGCUGACUCAGUUGUGGUGAACACCAGAGGAACAAGCUUUUUGGUUUAAGUUCUUUCUGUGUCUUUGGGUGGGCCAUCUUGUGUGUGGGGGCAAAUGGCAACAUGCAGUCAGGGUGGCUGUACAGGUGGCCCUUGGAGAAAGGACAGCUGUAAAUGCCCCCACCCCCACCCCGUUUGCAGAAAGCCAAGUUACUUCUUUCAUUUGGAGAGAAUGUAGCAAUUACUUGAAAUUA